AUUCAGGGAAUAAAUAGUAAGGCCAGUAAGCAGCUUAGUGCUGUGUGGUGGGGCCGGCGCUUCUGCUGCCUUCUGCUUCAAGGUAGCAGAGCAGUCAGGGUCCGCCUGAGAAGGUGACAUCUCAGCAAAGAGCUAGAACUUCGCCAGCUUUAUACGGGGUUUCUUUGUCAGAACGCACUCCUUUAGUGAGGUUUGGAAAACAUUUAACUCCUGUAAUCUUAAAGUAAAUGGACUGGAAGUGCAGCAGGCGUGGCUCCUGUGCGGCACUGAGGAAUCACUGGGAGAGCGCGCAGGGCCCUCAGAGACCUUUCUCCACUUCCCCAGUGAGGAGACGCAAGCCUGGUUCUGCGAUUCCUUCCAGCUCUGGGGUCUGUUACAGUUCCCAUCUGAGUUCUAAAGUUGGGGUGGGCCUGAAGACCCCCCUUGCUGCCAGUCCUGUGGACGCGGUGGGUGCCCCUCCAGCCACCACUGUCCUCUGGACUGUGCCACAUCACAAGCACUUACCAAGCUCCUCUGCAAACCACGUGACAACCAAAUGCAGUGAAAGUUGCAGCCCCCAACCUGCUCCUGCCCGUUGUCUGUUUUCUGCGGCUCUGUCUGGAGUCCUUGGAGCCUCCUGAGCAUGUGCACCAGCAGCGCUGCCUGACUUCCCUGGAGGAAGUUCACAGAGGGCAGCCACAAGUUCAGACCGGGCCAUGGGGCCGGGGGCUCCACGACUCCUGAGAGCAGUUCCUGGCCGGACUCUGGCUUAUGUCACUGCCCCACCCCAGGGAACCCCGGGGGUACAGACAGCUGUUGUUGAGGUCCCAGGAGCAGGUUGUCCCCUAUGCUCCUGGGGACAUGGAGGAGAGGGAGGGUCCCAAGAUCCCAGUACUUGUAUGAGUCACACUGAUUAGCUGAAGCCCAGAGACUUCUUAAUCAUCCUAAAAAUGCAGCCUCCCGGGAGGCAGGGCCUGGCUCUGCAGCUCUGGGUGGCUCAUGCUCUCCCUCCCGUGUGGAGGGGGCUGGAGAGGUUGGGUGAGCUGAUAGGUUUCAUGUGCAAAGAUAAUUAUUUUCCUGUUCUCAUAACCCAGCUUUUACUAGGAAACUGGAAUCACAUCUCAUGUUGUAUAGUGAAGCUCUGGGGAAAAUAUUUUCUUCCUUGAAUCUGAGGAGAGAGAUGUCCUAGGGAGGUAGUCUUCAGGCUCACCCUUGAUUCCAGAGCUGGGUUUCAGCACAGGCAGUCCCCUCCCCCUGAAGAGUCCUGGUGGGGCCACUUGGAGGUGCCAGCAGAGCCAGUGCCACCUUUCUGGGGAACCCGGACAGUGCGCAGCAGUGUGUUAUGCGCUCCAGUUCUCAAAGCCUCGCGUACUGGACACGGUCUGUCUGCAGUAAGGGAGAUCUGAGAAACGCUAGUGGCAAAUAGACCGCUGGUGUCCACAUGCAGGGAAUUGGGCUUCCUUCCCUGGUGGAAUCCUUGCUGUAACCAGCCGGCUCGGGGACAGCUGUGCCUACAGGGGGAAUAUUAGCAACCGAUUCUUUGCUGGGUCUUUGCACCUUUGUAUUUCAAAAUUCUUAGACCCUAGGGAGUAGCCAGAUGGGUUCACAAAUGUGCAUCCUUUUAGUUUUUGUUUUCCAGGAGGUGCUUGGAGCAAAGUUUAGUCCUUGGUGCCUGUGACAGACAGGGAUUUCUUAUGGCCUUGGGCUGACCAAAGCUGCUGUGUUUCAAAGCCUCCUGGAGGCAGUUGUUUGUGGAUCUUGCUGUGUGGGGGCCUCAGGUCCCAUGCCUUUCCCCUGCAGGGCUUUUGGACGGUCCUCGGGGUCUAGGCCACAGCCCUUGGGAUGCAACCACAGAGACGUGGGUGCAGAGUCCUGCUUGCUGGGCCCGCAGCUUCCUAGUGCACCCUCAGUGAAGAGUUCACAUGCUUUUCUUGGAAUAUCCUUCCUUGCUGGCCCCCAGGAGUCUCCUCUCACUUGCUCCACCAACUCCUCAGUGUGUUUUCCUGGCUGAGAGCUUUUCAUGUCGCAUAUCCAAGGCCAUCCUGCAGCAGCCUCUCGUCCUCAGCUCAGCAGCAGAGGCCUUUGAUCUCUUUUGUCGUUGCCUCUCGGCUCUCUGCCCUCAGAACAGGCCGGUGUUCAAGACCAAGGCAGCCCCAAGUGGAGUUGACUGUGCACCGUUAACAGGUGAUCUUUCUCCAUCCCAGGUCCCAGUUGUGUGAUGGCGGCUGCAAUCUGUCUUGUGGGUAUUAAUGCAAUCUUCAGUGGUGGCUACUGUUCUCUAGCUGUUCUACAAAACUGGAGCAUGCUGGCUUGAAAAAACCUUGCCCAGUUUUGAUCCCUUCAAGACUUUGCCACAGCCUCUAUCACACAUCUGUUUUUCUCGAAGAAAAAAUAUAAUAAAAAUGUUUUACUCUUUUACACUGUAUAAUUAUAAGAAAUAGUGUGUUAUUUGUGAAUGCAUGGUCUGAAAUUUCUGUACAGUUUGGAGAUAUUUUCAAACGAAACGUAAGAGAAGUCAACAAUAAAACCAAGAAAAGUGAGUAUUUUUAUACCAAACAUUUUAAGUAUGCUGGGAUGGACAAUCUUACACUGGGUUGGAUCACAGUUUUUGUGCUUGACUUUUGAAUGCUUGUAAUUAAAAAUAUCUAUUUUUUUCCUCUGAAGUAAGUUGCAUGUUUGAGGCAUGUUUCCAAAUAUCAACAUUUCCUGAAUUGUAUUGUGAAUAUAUAGAAAUCUGUGCCUGGCCGAAGUCCAGGGUAAAUUAGUAGCGUGGUGGUAGGUGUUAGAAACAGAACUGUUAUCUGCAGUGUUAGGUCUAGGAUCCCAGUUCUAGUAGGACAGCCCUGCAAGACAAUCAACCAGAAGCCUCCAGGAGCUUCUACCUAUGGCUUAUUCACAACUGGGCAAGAAAACAUCGUUGGUAAGAACUGCGGAGUGUGCCCUUAGAAAGCCCUGGCAGCUCCGGCUGUGACUGUAUCAACUGUGUGCCAAGUGUGAGUUUGUACAGUUUUAUGUUUCCACUCUCCUGUACGUGUAGCCACUCGAUGCUUAACCCGCCUUCCACAAGCCAGCCCCGCAUCCCUCUCCCCCAGUGGAAGUGCAGAGCCUGCCUCACUGGUAACGGAAAACCUUGGCUUGGGAGGCCAGCCCUGGCCCAUGAAGGGGCUGGCUAUGCCCAACCCACUUGGCUGCAGUGGGCAGCUCAUGUCUCUAUCUCCAAAGUGAUGUUUGCAAAACAUUGGCUGAAUUGAGCUGGUAUCCCCAACUCUUGCGGCACUAGGCCAAACCGACCACAUCCCAUGAGCUCCCAAAUGGCGUCUGCUCACUGUGAGACGAGAUGCCACACCGCACAGGAGACGGACGCAGUGGGCAUUUGGAACCAGUUCUGUUCAGACUUCGUCAAAGCCAAAGUCAGUCUGGUGUUGUCAGUUGACACAUCUCCAGAGUUCAUGACAGCUCAACCUCUCCCCUUGUGCAGAAGCCAUUUGUAAAAUCACAUUGACCUAAAUUCAGCUGCCAAACACAAUCACAGUCUCUCCUAUUGAUCUGCUCGGCUUAUGUUGAAAAUUUCAAUGUCAUGAUUACCUGGUUGGUUUGGGUUUUUGUUUUGUUAUUUUCCAUUGGAAAUAAAGAUGUCAAGAAGCUUUUAAAGGUCACCACAAAAAAACCAAGCCCAGGAGUGAAGGGCUCGCUCUUAGCGUAAAUAAGGGGAAAGGGCAGUUAGCUCGGGGACUUGUGACGGAUCCACUUUGGUGUUCAAGGACCUGCUUAUGCCCUCAGUGCCACUUGGUCUUGGUGAGAUGCCUGUGCUCCUCUACGGCAGACAGCUGCUUCUGCACAGUCUCUUCUGCUUUCAUAACUGUUUAAAGGUACUUUUCUAUUGUCAUUUUUAAAAAAUAAUAAAGUGUUUAUUCCAGCUCUCA